rnacentral:lncRNA from 1 species
GGGGAAAGGAAUCAUCCAAAAAAGAAAAAAAAGUAUCACCCUCUCUGGGUGACGACUGGACGCCGGCCACCACACCCGGCAAAGAAACUUGGGAAGCCUCCAACCGUCUUUCUUCUUCGGGCAUCAAGAUCCAAGGCCGAUGUUCUCCUUCGUUCUCCAUCUCCUCCGGCGAAAAUUCGGCCGAUUUCGCAGCAUCCCAAGCAACCGCGACGCCUGCACAUCUCGAAAAUCAAGUCGGACAUCUUUUUAUCUGGCUGUUGGGGUUCUCCACGCAAAUGAAGGGAGGGCUCCAAAAACCCCCAAUUCAGGACUCAGGGAGCAAUCGUCCGAUUAAAUCGCCCCUGCUGCUGUUAUUGCCGCUUCCAGAUUCAUCACCCGCCACUGAAUCAAUCGCCGCCGUAGUGCUUUAGCACCGGAGUUCGUCUCCGUCGGCACCAUGUUUUGGAUUCCCUAAUUCCAUCGUCGAAUCGGCUAGAAGAACCUCGGAAUCGAAGACCCACGAAAUCAGGAAGGGGAUGCAUCUUCUCCGGUAGGGUUCUGUGAUUUUCCAAGGACAUCAAGGCUUCUCUCUCAGAUCCGAUCGGGAACAACCACCGCUGCAGCCUUUCCUCGGUUUCGCCGCACUUAUUUUCCAUCGCCACCUGCACGGCCUCUUUUGGCAACAGCCGUCGCCGUCGCCUGAUCCAGCCGUGUCGCAGUCCAAGUCGUGCCUCCUUCUCAGCCGAUACUCGGCCACCUGACUCACCUCGCCUCUAUCUCUCAAUCUUCCCUCUCAUCUCUACAAUCGCAGCAACCGAGCACAAGCCACUGACUACUAAUCUCUUUGUUCUCCAUUUUCUCCGGUGAAAUCCUCCAAUAUGGGAUCUACGGCAGAUUCGCUCAACCCUUGUUUUCAAUUUCUCAGAUUCGAACACAUUUUCUCGAGUUUCCCCAUUAAUUUGAGGGCUCUAAUUUCCCUUUUUUCUUUUUUAUUGUGAGUUAAAAGAUGCAGUUAUUGAGCACCGACUUCAUCAAGGACUUGCUUGAAAUAUGUCGAUGAACCACCACUCUCUCUUAGUCCAUAACAGUUUUUGGAGGCUCCUAAGCUGCGUCCCCAAAAAUCUCCGCCGCAGCAACCACCAAUCACCACUAUCUUGCUGUCUACAAUGAUAAUGGACAAGAGUCUCACUCAGUCUCGAAAAAUUAUGAGGAUUUUCGGGUGAUUGAGAUGGUUGUGGUCUUCAUUAGCCAUGGCACUGUCAUAGCAGAGCACAAAGAUCAAGCAAUCAUCAUUGCCUGGUAGAAGCACCUAAAUUCCAUCGAGGCAGCAAGGGUUUGCCAUUUUUAGCGUCAUCUCGGCUUCGACCGAACAGAGUGGCUGCCUUUCUCCCUGUCAUAGGGGUCAUCACUGUGGCUUCGACCGAACAGGGCAGAAGUUGGAUCGAGUUAAACGUUAUCGAAGCUAAGUUAUCUCGAUUUUUCUCUUCGUAUUGAAUCUAGUUUGGGAAUGAUUAGGGAAAAUGGGCUGGAUUAUAUCUGACUUUGGGAGGUUUAAUUGAGGUCCAUGUACUGUGUCCUAAACUCUCGUACAUAACUAAAAUUUUGCUCUGCUUCUUGUGAUUUGCUUGAGACUCUGCUGUUGGGAUUAGUCGUAUAUAGUUAUCUUCUAUUUACUAGUGUCUCGAUAUAUGGAUAUUUGUAUUUCUCGUCCUUUGCCUUCUUGAUCAUGUUUCGAAAGUAGUCUACUAUGAUUGAUUGUUUCUAGGGAAAAUCCAGAUGCUAUAAGUAUAUGACAAUUUUUCUUGAUGUCUUUUGAAUUCACAUGUUGGGUAAACUGCCAUUUCUAAUCUUGGAUUCGCAUGUUGGCAUUUGUUUGCUUUAAACUAGAUGAAGUUACAUAUACUUCCCAAGUAGCAUAUACAAA